rnacentral:rRNA from 1 species
AGCGUACACGGUGGAUGCCCUGGCAGUCAGAGGCGAUGAAGGACGUGCUAAUCUGCGAUAAGCGUCGGUAAGGUGAUAUGAACCGUUAUAACCGGCGAUUUCCGAAUGGGGAAACCCAGUGUGAUUCGUCACACUAUCAUUAACUGAAUCCAUAGGUUAAUGAGGCGAACCGGGGGAACUGAAACAUCUAAGUACCCCGAGGAAAAGAAAUCAACCGAGAUUCCCCCAGUAGCGGCGAGCGAACGGGGAGCAGCCCAGAGCCUGAAUCAGUGUGUGUGUUAGUGGAAGCGUCUGGAAAGGCGCGCGAUACAGGGUGACAGCCCCGUACACAAAAAUGCACAUGCUGUGAGCUCGAUGAGUAGGGCGGGACACGUGGUAUCCUGUCUGAAUAUGGGGGGACCAUCCUCCAAGGCUAAAUACUCCUGACUGACCGAUAGUGAACCAGUACCGUGAGGGAAAGGCGAAAAGAACCCCGGCGAGGGGAGUGAAAAAGAACCUGAAACCGUGUACGUACAAGCAGUGGGAGCACAGAGCAAUCUGUGUGACUGCGUACCUUUUGUAUAAUGGGUCAGCGACUUAUAUUCUGUAGCAAGGUUAACCGAAUAGGGGAGCCGAAGGGAAACCGAGUCUUAACUGGGCGUUAAGUUGCAGGGUAUAGACCCGAAACCCGGUGAUCUAGCCAUGGGCAGGUUGAAGGUUGGGUAACACUAACUGGAGGACCGAACCGACUAAUGUUGAAAAAUUAGCGGAUGACUUGUGGCUGGGGGUGAAAGGCCAAUCAAACCGGGAGAUAGCUGGUUCUCCCCGAAAGCUAUUUAGGUAGCGCCUCGUGAAUUCAUCUCCGGGGGUAGAGCACUGUUUCGGCAAGGGGGUCAUCCCGACUUACCAACCCGAUGCAAACUGCGAAUACCGGAGAAUGUUAUCACGGGAGACACACGGCGGGUGCUAACGUCCGUCGUGAAGAGGGAAACAACCCAGACCGCCAGCUAAGGUCCCAAAGUCAUGGUUAAGUGGGAAACGAUGUGGGAAGGCCCAGACAGCCAGGAUGUUGGCUUAGAAGCAGCCAUCAUUUAAAGAAAGCGUAAUAGCUCACUGGUCGAGUCGGCCUGCGCGGAAGAUGUAACGGGGCUAAACCAUGCACCGAAGCUGCGGCAGCGACGCUUAUGCGUUGUUGGGUAGGGGAGCGUUCUGUAAGCCUGUGAAGGUGUACUGUGAGGUAUGCUGGAGGUAUCAGAAGUGCGAAUGCUGACAUAAGUAACGAUAAAGCGGGUGAAAAGCCCGCUCGCCGGAAGACCAAGGGUUCCUGUCCAACGUUAAUCGGGGCAGGGUGAGUCGACCCCUAAGGCGAGGCCGAAAGGCGUAGUCGAUGGGAAACAGGUUAAUAUUCCUGUACUUGGUGUUACUGCGAAGGGGGGACGGAGAAGGCUAUGUUGGCCGGGCGACGGUUGUCCCGGUUUAAGCGUGUAGGCUGGUUUUCCAGGCAAAUCCGGAAAAUCAAGGCUGAGGCGUGAUGACGAGGCACUACGGUGCUGAAGCAACAAAUGCCCUGCUUCCAGGAAAAGCCUCUAAGCAUCAGGUAACAUCAAAUCGUACCCCAAACCGACACAGGUGGUCAGGUAGAGAAUACCAAGGCGCUUGAGAGAACUCGGGUGAAGGAACUAGGCAAAAUGGUGCCGUAACUUCGGGAGAAGGCACGCUGAUAUGUAGGUGAAGCGACUUGCUCGUGGAGCUGAAAUCAGUCGAAGAUACCAGCUGGCUGCAACUGUUUAUUAAAAACACAGCACUGUGCAAACACGAAAGUGGACGUAUACGGUGUGACGCCUGCCCGGUGCCGGAAGGUUAAUUGAUGGGGUUAGCGCAAGCGAAGCUCUUGAUCGAAGCCCCGGUAAACGGCGGCCGUAACUAUAACGGUCCUAAGGUAGCGAAAUUCCUUGUCGGGUAAGUUCCGACCUGCACGAAUGGCGUAAUGAUGGCCAGGCUGUCUCCACCCGAGACUCAGUGAAAUUGAACUCGCUGUGAAGAUGCAGUGUACCCGCGGCAAGACGGAAAGACCCCGUGAACCUUUACUAUAGCUUGACACUGAACAUUGAGCCUUGAUGUGUAGGAUAGGUGGGAGGCUUUGAAGUGUGGACGCCAGUCUGCAUGGAGCCGACCUUGAAAUACCACCCUUUAAUGUUUGAUGUUCUAACGUGGACCCGUAAUCCGGGUUGCGGACAGUGUCUGGUGGGUAGUUUGACUGGGGCGGUCUCCUCCUAAAGAGUAACGGAGGAGCACGAAGGUUGGCUAAUCCUGGUCGGACAUCAGGAGGUUAGUGCAAUGGCAUAAGCCAGCUUGACUGCGAGCGUGACGGCGCGAGCAGGUGCGAAAGCAGGUCAUAGUGAUCCGGUGGUUCUGAAUGGAAGGGCCAUCGCUCAACGGAUAAAAGGUACUCCGGGGAUAACAGGCUGAUACCGCCCAAGAGUUCAUAUCGACGGCGGUGUUUGGCACCUCGAUGUCGGCUCAUCACAUCCUGGGGCUGAAGUAGGUCCCAAGGGUAUGGCUGUUCGCCAUUUAAAGUGGUACGCGAGCUGGGUUUAGAACGUCGUGAGACAGUUCGGUCCCUAUCUGCCGUGGGCGCUGGAGAACUGAGGGGGGCUGCUCCUAGUACGAGAGGACCGGAGUGGACGCAUCACUGGUGUUCGGGUUGUCAUGCCAAUGGCACUGCCCGGUAGCUAAAUGCGGAAGAGAUAAGUGCUGAAAGCAUCUAAGCACGAAACUUGCCCCGAGAUGAGUUCUCCCUGACUCCUUGA